GUUCAUUUGUGUAUUUUAUUUUAUUUUUUAAAAUAUCUAUUUGGCUACACUGCAUCAGGUUCUUCAGUUGCAGUUUGUGAACCCUUAGUUGGGGCAUGUGGGAUCUAAUUCACUGGCCAGAGAUUGAACCUGGGCCCCCAGCAUUGGAAGCCCAGAGCCUUAGCCACUGGACCACCAGCGAAGUCCCUGUGUGUGUCAUAUCUUAGACUCCGCAUAUAGAUGCUAUCAGAGCAACCGAAUGAGGUUUUACAGGUGAGGACAUUGAGCUAUAAAGAGGUGAGGUUAUUUGCCUAAGGUCCCACAGCUGGAGGAAGGCAGGGUUAGGGUUCAGACGUUCUCAGGUGCACCCCCUCUCUCCCUUUCCGAACUCCUGAGAUGGGAAAAUUCUACUGGUGUUGAAAAGAACCCAGUUCAGGCUAGAACAUGUAACUGGCACUUUUAUCGUUUCCUCUCUUCUGAAGCCUUUUAUCUUUCUGUCUAGGAACAUGGGUCACAGUCAUGGCCACGACCCACUUCCCAGAUCUCUGUGAACCUGCUGGGCCACGCAGCCCAUUUCACAGGUUUAUAAACCACAGUGUGGAUGUUUCACCAGCAGGAAGAAACAGCUGCCAAGUCACACAUCGAGAGCCGGACAGAGGCCUCUUCCUGUGUGUGUGGAAAAACCACGAGCUCUGCAGUCAGAGAGGAUAUUGGAGGCCAGAGAGGGAAGAAUCCGGAGAGAGAAACGAGGUGAUGAGAGAAACACACAGGCAAGAAUCAGAACGUGACAAGAAGCUGAACGAUGGUGGAGGUGCUGCUGCAGGAGAAGGGAUGUAAGGAUCUGGCCUGGGUGGGGAGGGUCCUGUCUGUAUCAGAGACAGGGUAGCCUGAACCUCACCAUUGCCCUCUCCCAGCCCACCCACUGCUGGCUUCCCUGAACGGAGCAUCCAUUUCCUGCGGCUGCUGUCAUAAGUGACCAUAGGCUGGUUGACUUGAAAACGACCCAGAUGUACUCUCCCUCAGUUUAGGAGGGGCCUGUGUGUGUGCUCAGUCGCUCAGUCAUACCUGACUCCUGCAUCUGCUGCAUUGGCAGAAAGAUUCUUUACCACUGCACCAUCUGGGAAGCUCUCUCUUGGUUGUGGAGGCCAGAAGGUCAGCCAGGGUGUUGGCAGGCCACACUCCCGCCAUAGGCUCUAGAGGGGGCUCCGUCCUGGCCUCUCCCAACUUCUCGCAGCCCCGGGUGUUCCUGGGCCUGUGGCUGCCUCACUCCUGUCUCUGCCUCCAGUCGCCUCUUCUCCCUGCAUUUCUUAUAAGGACACCCGAUGUGGCUUUCUAGUCCAGCCCUACACAAUCUAGGAUGCUCUCAUCUUGAGAUCUUUAACUUAAAGACAUCUGCCAAGACCCCUUUUCCAGAUAAGGUCAUGCUGGCAGGUACUGGGGGACAUAUCUUUUGAGGGAUCACGAUUCACACACUGUGCCAUACAUUCCUUACUCACCUUGCCUGACAGCUCUUUUUGAGCCUGAAUAUACAAAAGAAAUGUGGGAAGUGAGACUGGGUUUACAGUUUAGAAACAGAGGCAAAGCAGAUGUUUGCAGAGCUUGAUGGAAAAUGGUGGGUGUGUUGGAGACGUGGAGAGAAAUACAGUAGAAUGGAAGCUUAAAGGGGCAAGAGAUACACCAGCUUGGCUUGGGGGCCAGCAAGGAAAAGGAGGCUCCUCAUAGCAGACCUGAUAUGUGAGUGGAUUUUGACAGACAGGAGGACAUGAACUUGUGGGACAGGGACAAUCUGGGCAGAAAAACUAGCCUCAGGGAGGCCCAGAGGCAGGAAGCAGGGGGUUCACAGGCAGUGCUAAGAACUAUCUGGAGUGAUGGGAGCACAGAUGAGUGGAUGGCCGAGGCAAGAGGGGAUGGUAGAGAGGGUGUCUGGGGACAGGAUAGGGUGCCUUGAAUGGGGUUCAGCCAGGGAAGCCUGCACAACAUUAUGAAUAUAAGGGCAUGGUAUAAAAACCUUGAUUUCUGAAGAUAGUACUUUUAUAUUUCAUAGAGUAAAAAUUAUUUUUUCAUAAACAGUAAAAAUUAUUUUAAGCUAUUUGAGAUGCAGUAGAGGCAGAAAGAGGCCUUUCUGGAGCUUCCUUUAACUGACUAAACGCAGACACUUCAGAGAAGUGAGAACCACCAUAGAUUCCUUCUUGGGUGUGUGUCUGAUCCCAGGAGUGAGACGAAGAGUAAACCUACCUCUGCAAACUCUCUUGUCUCCUGAAACCUAUUUGCUCUUUCCAUUGGAGACUUUUCCUUUUCCUCCCUUUCCUCUGGCAAGUUAGCUAUUUAAGCCCCAAAUCAUAACCACUGUUUUGAGUGCCUCAUCACGGAGCUCUCCCACAUGCACGCACAUUACAUGUGUAGAUAAAAGUAUGCUUCUCUUGCUCAUUGGGCUUUUGUCAACUUAAUUCACAGGCCCUUGGGCACAGAACGUAAGAGGAUAGAGGAAAAGUUAUUCCCACCCUACAGUUUAUAUAUCGUACGUGUGAAUUAAAAUGUAGACAGAGACUUAAGAUGGGAACACUGGUUCAUAGACUAUUAAAUAAUCCCGGCACGAUUAGCAGGGGAGAAAGGAGAGAUAAGUAUGUAUUUAGAGAGACUGCAGAGGCAGAUUCAAAAGGAUUUUGUAGAAGGAAGAGAGGGAGGGAGGUUAGAAAGGGACAGCAGAUAGCUGACAAGAACUCUGUGGCUCUGAGCCUGGAUGACCAGGUCCAUGAUGGUGCUGUUAUUAGAAUUAGGAAGUAAGAGAUAGAAAGAUCUUAAGAAAACAGGACAUGUUAAUGGAACCUGCGUGAAGCCUGGCAGAGAGCCUAAACUGGAGAUGAGGAUUGAGAUGAUUGUGUUGAGGAUCCUUAAAGGCAUGGGGUAAGAGAAAACUAUGUUAAAAAAAAAAAAAAAUGUGAGGUGGGGAGGGGCCUCAGAGGUGAUUUGGGGAAGAAGGAGGGAGUGAGGCCAGCUAGGGGUGGGGAGUUAAUCAAAGGUAGAGGUGGUGAAAGAGGAAAGGUCAGAACAUCCGUGGGGCUGGAGAUCAAACAGAGCAUCUUUCUUUGUAUCAAAAGUUGCAGAGAGGUAGAUAAGGAUGGAGCACAUUCCAUAAGAACCGGAAAGAAGGCUGUCAUUGGAGGAAGCAGAGUCAGGAGAGAGGUUAGGAGGCAGAGCUGAAUUCGGGGGUUGGAGAUCAUUCCUUCAAAGAAUCUUACUGGAGGGAAGAGCAUCCCAGGUGCUGAGAACAGGAAGUGCAAAGGCCCUGAGGCACAACUGCGUCUGGCGUGACGGGGAGACCACGAUGACAAGUCACUGGAGCAAAGCUGAGAGUGGGAAACUAAAGACCUGAUCCCACAGGUCCCGGGAAGACUGUAGGGAAUUUGGAAUAAAGUAUGUUGGAAAGUGAGUGGAAGAAGAAAU
rnacentral:lncRNA from 1 species